GCAGACAUAGUCUAAUAUAUCACGCUGGCUUGUGACACCAGUAAUAGGAAAUCAUAUCUCCUUGUCUACC
rnacentral:tRNA from 1 species